rnacentral:rRNA from 1 species
GAUGAACGCUGGCGGCGUGCUUAACACAUGCAAGUCGAACGGAGUGGCGAACGGGUGAGUAACACGUGGGUGAUCUGCCCUGCACUUCGGGAUAAGCCUGGGAAACUGGGUCUAAUACCGGAUAGUGUGGGAUGAGCUCGCGGCCUAUCAGCUUGUUGGUGGGGUAAUGGCCUACCAAGGCGUUGACGGGUAGCCGGCCUGAGAGGGUGUACGGCCACAUUGGGACUGAGAUACGGCCCAGACUCCUACGGGAGGCAGCAGUGGGGAAUAUUGCACAAUGGGCGGAAGCCUGAUGCAGUGACGCCGCGUGGGGGAUGACGGCCUUCGGGUUGUAAACUCCUUUCGCCAAAGACGCGGUAUUUGGAGAAGAAGCACCGGCUAACUACGUGCCAGCAGCCGCGGUAAUUC